AUUGCAUCUUGCAGGUUUUGUUCUUUUUCUGUGAGUUGUAAGGGGACAUGUCGGUAACUGUCGGACUACCGCAUAUUCAGAUAAUCAGGGGCCUGUUUCACGAAGCAGGUUCAACAAACUCUGAGUUUAUCCCUGAACUCUGAGUUGAUCUACUCUGAGAUAGAAAACUCUGAGUUUUCAGUUUCACAACGGCUGGUUUGAGUUGGUUUAAUUAACUCGGAGUAGUUUCACUCGGAGUUAAGCGCGUCACUGCAACUCUGAAAAGACAGCAUCAAUGGAACCCCGAUUCGACGAGUCACCAUGGAAACGGGGAAGCGGAGGGCUGCGUUUGGGACUGGAAGUUUUUAACGCGCUCAUAUGGCGAGUUUGAAGACGUUUUUAGAAAGAAGUGCAACACCGCUGCAGCUGUAAAAGAGAGAGAGACGGCGUGGAGAACAGCCCGGAUCAAUGUUUCAAACUUUAAAACGGAUCAAUCUGACCCGCAUAAUGACACGGGGUUAAUUAAACAUUACCGUGUAUAAUAACCUUGUUUCCUGCCCCCCUGGCAGCCAGAUUGUGUCAGUUUGCGGUGAUGUUUUACAGUGUGACUGUCCGUAUGCAGACAGGUUGUUCUGCUGAUACUUGCUCAUGCAUGAGGAUAAGUUGUGGUGUUAAUAACCGUCCUGGUCCUCCCCCUGCUGCAGCUGAUCCCAGCCCAUCUGUCUGCUGCCUCCUUGGGGGACACGGGGGAGGAGGAGCGGGAGGCAGGGAGGCAAAUUAACAAGUUGCCACAUGUUUCCAGGCGUUGAGCUGCUUUUAAUUACACCUGGACGUCACUUCGGAGGAACACUGCCGCCUGGAUCUGCUCCUAUUAUCGGCUGAAGGUUGGAAUCCUCACAAGGAGCCCAAAAUGUUUAAAAGUCUGAAUCCACAACAGCUGACUGGUUUUACUUUGAAAUGAUUCACUUUGUUCCUGCUGCUUUAUCAGUUAGGAAGCAAAGAUAUUAUUGAUAUUCAUUAAAAUACUGUCAAGGAGCUACAGAAAGAAAACAACAGCUCUGAUUUAAAAUCUUAUAUGUCAGGUUGUUUUGUCUCUUUGUGUUGUUUUGUGUCUCUUUGUGGUUGUUUUGUGUCUUUUUGGUUGUUUUGUGUCUCUUUGUGGUUGUUUUGUGUCUUUGUGAUUGUUUUGUGUCUCUUUGUGGUUGUUUUGUGUCUUUGUUGUUGUUUUGUGUGUCUUUGUGGUUGUUUUGUGUCUUUAUGAUUGUUUUGUGUCUCUUUGCGGUUGUUUUGUGUCAGCGGUUGUGUUUUAAUCACAGUUUGAUCCUGGAACUCUGCACAGAUUUAAACUUUUCUUUGUGUUCUACCUGCAGAGGGAAACUUCUUUAAAUGAAGUUUAUUCCUCCUCCUGCUUCUUUUUUUACCCUCAGCUCUGGUUCUCAGUUCAUCUCCUUCCCCUCCUCGUCUUCUCUCUCCGCUAUAAUUGGGCUCGGUGUGUUUUUCUGGUCGUAUGCUACAUUAAUUAUCACAGCAAUCAGACCAGGGACAAUAUGGCUUUAUUUGUUCCUGCGGGAGGCUGUGUGUGUGUGUGUGUGUGUGUGUGUGUGUGUGCAGACAGGUGAUAUUCAUGCGUGUUCGCUCCAGCUGAGCUCUUUUAUGGCUCAUUAUAAGCUCUAACAAGGCUUCAGUAGCUGAAUGUGUGGAGGCCUCGGGGAGCUGCCCAACACCUCCGUCUCACAGGGCAGCCCGAAAUACACACCGCAGACGCACAACAAGACGCACAACAGCACAGAAAACAAUUACAGCGAGUCCGUGUGUGUGUGCAUGGAGGGUAUCGCGAGUCUGCAAACAGUCUAAAAAAAUGUUUUUAUUUUGUCCUGGUGACAUCAAAAGUCCUGGAUGUCAUGAAACGUGUUUAUAUGAACACAGCUUUGUUUGUUUUUGUGUGGUUGUUGGUCUGUGGGAGGGCUUUUUGUGUCUCUGUGUGGUUGUUUUGUAUGUCUGUGUGGUCAUUUUGUGUAUUUUUGUUUUCGUUUUGUGUGUCCUUUUUGCAUUCUUGUUUUCAAUUCAUGCAUCAUUGAAUUUUUUGUGUCGUUCUGUUUUUUGUUUGUUUGUGGUUGUUUCGUGUUGCUGUGUAGUUGUUUUGUUUGUGGUUGUUUUGUGUCUAUGUUGGAUGUUUUCUGUAUCUUUGUGAUUGUUUGUGCAUCUUUGUUGCUUUUUUGUGCCUCUAUGAGGUUAUCCCCACAACUGGUUCAGGUCAGGUCAACAAAGCUAUGUUGACUUUUGGUUUGACCCGUCCAUCCACCCCAACCUUCUUUCCUUCCUCUGUAGAUAGAUAGAUACAUAGCUAGAUAGAUGUUGCACAGACACACUUCACACACUCCAACACCUGAGCUAAUGAAGCAGAGUGCAGCACAUUCAGUCCUUAAGGCUGUCAAUCAAAGCUUACUAAUGGUCCUACACACACACACACACACACACACACUCCCAGCUGUACCUUCCUAUUGACGAGGCUCCAUUGAAAAGACUGUAAUCUGCCCACACAGACUCUAAGCAGAUAAUACAAGACGGACAUCUUAACAAAACACUGAGAAACACGUAAAUGUUCAGACAUAAAUAUCAGCGUUAGGAAGAGAAGAGACAUGGAAAGACAUGAUUAAAACAAAAAAGAUCAGAACAACCCCUUAAAACAAGUCCAAAUUCAGCAGCUGGGAUGCUAAAUAUGGUUUCAUCUUCAUUGUUAGAGUAAUAAAAGCAGUUAUUCUACAAAAAACAGUCAAACUAAAUCUAAUGAAGGUCCACCAGAACCUCCUCAGAACAUCUGCUUCUUCAUGUCCAGUAAUUUUAUCAAUGAUCAGAGUUCCUCCUUCAUAUUCCCAGAGUUCCAGGUCCUUGAAGUCCAAAGAGGAGAACAUCCCCUUUACAAAGUUCUAGAGUAGACCUACCGACAACUGUAGAGUUGUCGGUAGGUCUACUCUAGAACUUCCUCCAGUUGUCGGUAGGUCGACUCUAGAGCUUUCUCCAGUUGUCGGUAGGUCUGCUCUAGAACUUUCUCCAGUUGUCGGUAGGUCUACUCUGGAACUUUCUCCAGUUGUCGGUAGGUCUACUCUAGAACUUUCUCCAGUUGUCGGUAGGUCUACUCUGGAACUUUCUCCAGUUGUCGGUAGGUCUGCUCUAGAACUUUCUCCAGUUGUCGGUAGGUCUACUCUGGAACUUUCUCCAGUUGUCGGUAGGUCUGCUCUGGAACUUUCUCCAGUUGUCGGUAGGUCUGCUCUAGAACUUUCUCCAGUUGUCGGUAGGUCUACUCUGGAACUUUCUCCAGUUGUCGGUAGGUCUACUCUGGAACUUUCUCCAGUUGUCGGUAGGUCUACUCUGGAACUUUCUCCAGUUGUCGGUAGGUCUACUCUGGAACUUUCUCCAGUUGUCGGUAGGUCUACUCUGGAACUUUCUCCAGUUGUCGGUAGGUCUACUCUGGAACUUUCUCCAGUUGUCGGUAGGUCUACUCUGGAACUUUCUCCAGUUGUCGGUAGGUCUACUCUGGAACUUCUGCAGAUUCAGAGUCCAAAUCUGACACCAGUUUCAUGAUAAUAAACACUUCAAGUACAUUAAAGUUAAGAAAAUCAAUCCAGUGUUUCUGUCUGACAGAACAAGACAAAGAGGCAUGUCAGUAAAUGUAGAUCAGCUGUAGUACCUGGUUGUUCCAGCAGGUGGAGCCUCAGUAAAAUAGUAUAAU